CGGUGGAGCAUGUGGUUUAAUUCGAAGCAACGCGAAGAACCUUACCAGGUCUUGACAUCCCUGACACCCGAGAGAUCGGGCGUUCCCCCGUUCGGGGGGACAGGGUGACAGGUGGUGCAUGGUUGUCGUCAGCUCGUGUCGUGAGAUGUUGGGUUAAGUCCCGCAACGAGCGCAACCCUCGACCUUAGUUGCCAGCAUUCAGUUGGGCACUCUAAGGUGACUGCCGGCUAAAAGUCGGAGGAAGGUGGGGAUGACGUCAAAUCAUCAUGCCCCUUAUGACCUGGGCUACACACGUGCUACAAUGGGCGGUACAAAGGGUCGCGAACCCGCGAGGGGGAGCCAAUCCCAAAAAGCCGCUCUCAGUUCGGAUUGCAGGCUGCAACUCGCCUGCAUGAAGCCGGAAUCGCUAGUAAUCGCAGGUCAGCAUACUGCGGUGAAUACGUUCCCGGGCCUU
rnacentral:rRNA from 1 species